rnacentral:lncRNA from 1 species
CUUGGCUAGUACUAUAGAGUGUGGGUGGUCUUCAGAUACUUAAGAAUCAGGGACAAUUGUGCAAAAUAAAUUUUAAAAAUGCUUUGUGGUAUAUAGACCACAUCCAUCAAAGACUGCAAUUUACUGUGAAAUAUGUCAAAAUCCUACUAUCAAAAUAAAAUCUAUCCGAUAUUAAAAAUUUAUUCAUUCUCAGAGUGCAUCUUACAAUUCACAGUAGAAGUUAGUUUUGAUGAGAACACAUAUCCUAUUGUUCCAAGCAC